rnacentral:rRNA from 1 species
AGAACGAACGCUGGCGGCGCGUUUAAGCAUGCAAGUCGAGCGGCAAGGGCCUUCGGGCCCCUAGAGCGGCGGACGGGUGAGUAACACGUGGACAAUCUGCCCCCCGCCGGGAUAGCCCAGGGAAACCUGGAUUAAUACCGGAUGAGACGGGACCCGCGAUGGCGGGAUCCGGGAAAGGCGCUGCGGCGCCGCCGGGGGAUGAGUCUGCGUCCCAUUAGCUAGACGCGGGGUAACGGCCACCGUGGCGACGAUGGGUAGCCGGCCUGAGAGGGUGGACGGCCACAUUGGAACUGAGACACGGUCCAGACUCCUACGGGAGGCAGCAGCUAAGAAUCUUCCGCAAUGGGCGAAAGCCUGACGGAAGCGACGCCGCGUGAACGAAGAAGGCCGUGAGGUUGUAAAGUUCUUUUCGGGAGGGGGAACAACCGUGGCAGGGAAUGGCCGCGGGAUGACGUGAAUCCCGGAAUAAGCCCCGGCUAACUACGUGCCAGCCGCCGC